rnacentral:rRNA from 1 species
AUUGAACGCUGGCGGCAGGCUUAACACAUGCAAGUCGAGCGGAGUGAUGGUGCUUGCACUAUCACUUAGCGGCGGACGGGUGAGUAAUGCUUAGGAAUCUGCCUAUUAGUGGGGGACAACAUCUCGAAAGGGAUGCUAAUACCGCAUACGUCCUACGGGAGAAAGCAGGGGAUCACUUGUGACCUUGCGCUAAUAGAUGAGCCUAAGUCGGAUUAGCUAGUUGGUGGGGUAAAGGCCUACCAAGGCGACGAUCUGUAGCGGGUCUGAGAGGAUGAUCCGCCACACUGGGACUGAGACACGGCCAAGACUCCUACGGGAGGCAGCAGGGGGGAAUAUUGGACAAUGGGGGGAACCCUGAUCCAGCCAUGCCGCGUGUGUGAAGAAGGCCUUAUGGUUGUAAAGCACUUUAAGCGAGGAGGAGGCUCUUUUGGUUAAUACCCAAGAUGAGUGGACGUUACUCGCAGAAUAAGCACCGGCUAACUCUGUGCCAGCCGCCGCCGCGG